rnacentral:lncRNA from 1 species
AUUUAAAGGUUGGCAGUGGGGGUGAGGGUGUCUUGCUAGAGAUCCCUGUAUACCUGAGUUCUUCCAAAGAAGAAACUACAGGCAAGAAGACUCCAGUAAAGACAAGGCACAUAGUCACAAAUAAAGGAAGACUUCAACAGUAACAGCAAAAUUAAAGUUCUGUGCCCUCAUGGUGGCUCCUUUUUGGCUGGUGUCCUCACUAACAAAUCAGACUUCUCUUGGCUGUAAAAGCUCCUGGGGGCUUGCAUGAACACUUGGCUGUUUUGGUUGAAUAAUCAAAAAAACAUUGAUUGUCAACCAGAGUUGCAGUCCUAUCCUCCUUAACCCAUCCUGGUGUAGGAGAAGUGAGAGCACAUUCCCUUCUGCUGACUGCCCAGGCAGGAGGGUGACCUUUCCCCAUGGUGAUACCUAAUGUUGCUCCAUCCUUAACUGCUGUAGACAUUUGCAUUACCAAAGAAUCUGCCUUAUGUCUGCAGAUAUGUGGGUGCUUCCUGCUUUAAAAAUCUUGUUGGAAUGAGACGGUGUUUGUAUUUAGCUGGUAUCUGAGGGCAGCAAACGUUCUUAAAAACACAAAAAUCAGGAUUUUCAUUUAAGGAAAAAAAAAAAAAAAAAAACGAAAAAGAUCUGAUGAUCUGGUUUCCCAAACAGUGUCAGUUCUCUUCCUGCUUUCUAAAGCGUUUUUCAUCACUAGUAUCUGUUAUUAUUACUUUACUGUUAGCAAGCUGUCAGUUAAUAGGAGCUUUUUCUCCCCUUCCCCUCUCUAGUGUGUUUGGAAAUAUGUUCACAAUAAGAAGGACUGAAAAUAAUCCCACCAUAGAAAACAGACAAACAGCAUUCUGCUUUACUGUUGAAGCUUUGUAUCAGCAUCCUUUCUGGAGAAAACUACAUCACUGCACCUGUGAAGGACUGUUUUGCUUCAAACCCCUCUCCUUGCUUUUGAGAUAGUGUCGAUUAAGUGACUCAUGUCACAGCUCUUGAUUGAGAGAGAUCUGCUUUGGUGAUUACAUGUUAGGAGUCUGCUCCUAAUCCAUUUAAAUCACUUGUAAAUUACUUGCCUUUAUUUUCUCAUUGCUUCUACUAUUGUGUGGCACCUUCUUAUUUGCAUGUCAGGGUGAGCUAUUUCCUCGUUCUUAAAGAAUUGACUUGCAUUAUACCACGAAAUAUAAGGAAAACACACAGUAAAGUUUCAGCUGUUGCUUAUAUUACAAUAUGUUUGGAU